rnacentral:lncRNA from 1 species
UGCCUGCUGAGUUUCCCUUAGUGCUGGAGAGACUGCUCUGGAUCCUCCCCUCAGGGGAGACUAGAGGGUGUGAAAGAGCACUGGCGUCAGUUUAUUGGCUCUCUUCUGGUCUCUUUUCCCAGGCAAGAGACUCCAUACAGACUAGCAGAAGACUCCAAAAGACUAACAGAGAAGCUGUCAGCAAUGUUCAGAUUUGCCCUUGAAGAAAAUCCUCAAGCUGAAUGCUGCUGAACUGUGGACAGAGUGAGGGAUACUUCAAAUGUGAUGGAUUGAGGCACACACAUAAUGACCUGUUCCAGUCAGAAAUUGAGACAGUCUCAAAGGAAGCUGCCGGCCACAUCUAUAGAAUGAGACAGGUGAGUAUACACAAGAGCAGUGGUGAUACAAUUUUACAUGUAUAUCUUCCUGCUAAAAAAUAAAAAAGUCAGGAUUGCACAUUUUGGAGGAUUAAUCAUCCUUAAUUUAUUACCAACAGGAAUAAUAUUCACUUUGUUUCUAUUUCACAGGGACACCCAAGUAACAUUUAAAAGGCAUAAAUAAAAUGAAGCCCAUGUAGGCUGUGGGUCUGUGU